CACUCUGGAGAGUCCCUGUUUUUUCAGGGCGCCGAAGGUGUACGGUAGUAAUAAGGACUGCCAAUCUCUCAGGCAAAAGGACAGAGCAU
rnacentral:ncRNA from 1 species